UAGGCCUCCCUGUUACAUGGAUGAAAGCCACAUUGGCACCCAUGGGCAGCACCUGCCAAGGUCGCUGGGACUUGGGGAUAUAAGGACAGAAGAAAAAAGGGGAUACCUUUUUUUCUCUCCCUCACAUACCCUGGGUAUUUGCUAGGAAGAGAGAAGAACUAAGGGGCACCUUUUUCCCCUCUUUCCAGAUGGGUAACCAAACGUCUUUAGUCUGUAUGUCUCUCCAAUGCAUCCUGAAUCACUGGGAUUCCUUUGAAAGGAGAAAAUCAACCUUCUUCUUCCUGUUUCCUCCUCUGUCCUCUCUUCAUGGAUGAAUAAUCAUGUCUCCAUACCACAGGACAUUUCCCUCUGUGAAAAGUUUAAUUUCUGCAUUAAACCACUUGGCUUAAAAAAAAUGAACUGGGAAGACAUUAUAACUCACAUUCCCCUCUGUGAAAAGUUUAAUUUCCACAAACCUUAAAUCACUUGACUUAAAAAAAAAUGAACUGGGAAAACUCUGAGCAAUCUCUUGAGGAAGGACAAUGUUUACAGUAUGCAAAUAACCUAUUUGUCUGCUCCCCCUUUACAGAACUCCAGGGUCAAAGGGCUUCAUAGCUCGGGGGAAGGGAACCCAGAGGCCUGACAUGCUGGCAAACGAGUAAAAGUUUUUUACCAGUCAGACUUCUGGCUUUUCUCUCUCUCUGUGCAAACUGUUUGAAUGAAUGAUAAAAAUCACUGUUUAUAUAAUCUGAAACGUUUUGAUUAAUGGAAAAAGGAUUUGUGAGGUGAGUCUUAAUCUAUAGAGAAUCUGUGAUACUUUGUGCUAAGAAUUUCUCUUUCUGUAUCUUUCUGUCAGAAACAGGGGUACCUUAGGAUAAAAUGUGGGUCUAGGCCCAAAUGUCCAACAAUGAUAGACUGGAUUAAGAAAAUGUGGCACAUAUACACCAUGGAAUAGUAUGCAGCCAUAAAAAAUGAUGAGUUCAUGUCCUUUGUAGGGACAUGGAUGAAGUUGGAAAUCAUCAUUCUCAGUAAACUAUUGCAAGAACAAAAAACCAAACACCGCAUAUUCUCACUCAUAGGUGGGAAUUGAACAAUGAGAACACAUGGACACAGGAAGGGGAACAUCACACUCUGGGGACUGUUGUGGGGUGUGGGGAGGGGGGAGGGAUAGCACUGGGAGAUAUACCUAAUGCUAGGUGACGAGUUAGUGGGUGCAGCACACCAGCAUGUCACAUGUAUACAUAUGUAACUAACCUGCACAUUGUGCACAUGUACCCUAAAACUUAAAGUAUAAUAAAAAAAAAUGGGUCUAGGACCCCAUAAGCCCAUUGUUCAAGUCAGCCUGACAAACUGGUCAGUAACUAAUUUUGCUAUAGGUCUCUGAAGAAAAAAAAUGGGAUGAGGUCUCCGUUUUCUUUUACGUACUUGGGAGCUUGACCUUGUAACCACAUGGCAAUACUUUUUUGGUCUCCGCCAUUUUACAGUGGUGGCCCUGGUUAAAUCCUGGCUUAGGGAAUGAGUACUUUCUGGUUAAUAUCUGUGUGACUUUUACCAUUUGCUGAUUCUCUUCCCCUCCAUGAACAACUUCCAUAAUAGCUGCCUUUCUUAAAUCUUCCUUUCUCUGAGUUACCUUUAAAGAUUCUAGAUUUUGUAAAAACUGCUUACCACCUGUUUGAAAAUACCUUGUACACUCACGUUUAAGUCAUAGCCUUAGUUGAGGCUUGUUGGUUUCACCUAUGAGGUUACUUUUGGCAAAGUUUAAAAGCCAGAAAUAUUGGCCACUUGGUGUGGCUAAAGUUGGGUAAUAGGGGAUUUAAAAGGAUAUUUUUUUGAAAGAGUGUUAUGGUUGAAAGUCAGCUUAAUUAGGGCAACCCCCUUUGGGUCCCCUCCCAUUUUAUGGGAGCUCUGUUUUCACUCUAUUAAAUCUUGCAACUUCACACUCUUCUGGUCCGUGUUUGUUACAGCUUGAGCUGAGCUUUCACUCACCAUUUACCACUGCUGUUUGCCGCCAUCACAGACCCGCUGCUGACUUUCACCCCUCCGGAUCUGGCAGGGUGUCUGCUGUGCUCCUGAUCCAGCGAGGCGCCCAUUGCCACCCCAGAUUGGGCUAAAGACUUGCCAUUGUUCCUGCACGGCUAAGUGCCCGGGUUCAUCCUAAUCGAGCUGAACACUAGUUGCUGGGUUCCACGGUUAUCUUCCGUGACCCACAGCGUCUAAGAGAGCUAUAACACUGCAUGGCCCAGAUUCCAUUCCUUGGAAUCCGUGAGGCCAAACCCCAGGUCAGAGAACAAGAGGCUUGCUGCCAUCUUGAGAGCGGCUGCCACCAUCUUGGGAGCUCUAAGAACAAGCCCCCACCCCAACCGGUAACAUUUUGGCGACCAUGAAGGGACCUCCAAAGCGAUGGGAAAUGUUCCCCUCAAGGCAAAAACACCCCUAAGAUGUAUUCUGGAGAAUUCAACCCAGCCAGAGUUUUGUCUCUUCCAGAAUCGAAGCUGUAAAACUACAAAUGAUCCUUCAAAUGGAGCCACAAUGCAGUCCACGACUAAGAUCUACUGCAGACCCCUGGACUGGCCUGCUAGCCCAUGCUCCAAUGUUGAUGACAUCAAAGGCACCCCUCCUGAGGAAAUCUCAACUGCACAACCCCUACUAUGCCCCAAUUCAGCAAGAAGCAGUUAAAGCAGUUGUCGGCCAACCUCCCCAACAGCACUUGGGUUUUCCUGUUGAGAGGGGAGACUGAGAGACAGGACUACCUGGAUUUCCUAGGCCGACUAAGAAUCCCUAAGCCUAGCUGGGAAG